CGCGUAGGUGGCUUAGAAAGCGUGUGGUGAAAGCCCGGGGCUUAACCCCGGGUCUGCCGUGCGAACUACUAUGGCUAGAGGACUGUAGAGGCAAGUUGAAUUCCGGGUGUAGCGGUGGAAUGCGUAGAGAUCCGGAAGAAUACCGGUGGCGAAGGCGGCUUGCUGGGCAGUUUCUGACACUGAGGCGCGACAGCGUGGGGAGCAAACA
rnacentral:rRNA from 1 species